AAGCCCCGCCCAUUGUGCGUCAGACCCCGCCCCCUGCGCAUGUGUGCCUGUGUCGGCAUUGGUGAGAAAUCAGCGCUGGAACAGAUGAGGGAAUGUCAAACUUGUUGCCGAUGCCCGAGGCUCGACACAUCCGAUUCAAGGAUAAACGACAAAACCCUCCUGGAGCCAGAAGCAUUUGAUGGAACAGCGCGUGUUUUAUGGACGAUAUUAAAUAAAAUGCCGAUUAAUUUCUGUGCUGAAUACAUUUCAUAAUGUGACAACAAAAGGGAUCCAGGGCUCUCCAGUUACAAACAGCGCGCACACACAGCGGUGCAUCGAGUCUCCUCACAGGACUGAAAGCACGCUCGAAGUUCUCCUCGGAGGACCGUCGAUUGAAUGCAUUUAUCUACUCUUUUUGAAUUCAUGUAAGUGUUUAAUAUAGAAUAAUUAGUCGGGAUCGCGCGCAUUGCAUUGGAGAUGUGAACAGGGGACAUGUGGUCCGCGCGCUGGUUUGCACUCCUCUGGAUUUGUGUUGAACGACUUGGAGAGUUACGCAUCGAAUAACGAUGUAAACGAGUUUAUUUUUAUUUUUUUUAAGAUGUGCAUUUUUCAGUGCCGUUGCUCUAAGGACAUACAAAGAGGAGUUCGCGUUUUUACGCUUAUGCUGGAAUUGAGUGACAAACACACAGGAAUUUAAUCCCAGUGGACUGAAAAUGAACUCUAAUUAUAACAGUGCCGGAUUUCAUAUGAAAGGGCCGUCGGUAGCUGUGGAGCCCAUGAUGGGUCCUCUAAAUGAAUCCCCCAUACAGGGACUCAACUUUGUCUCAAAUAGAGACCAGUAUGGAUUCCAGACUCAUGCCCAUGGGGAUAUGCACGCUAUGGGAGUUCAGCCACAACAUCAACUCCACAUGCAAGGACCGUUCAACCAUCAACCUCCUAACCACGACCAGCAUUCACAUCUGUACCAGGACAACGUCCCCGCUUGCCUGCACGGGGAUAGACACAUGGGCUUCAAUAACAACGCAGGUAACCCGCAUAUGUUUGAAGGAGGAUUCGGUCAGCAGCUCGCAGAAGCACAGUCACGAGAAUGCAUUUCACAGCAGCAGCAGCAACAGAGAAUGGCCACAAUGCCUGAAUUUCAACCACAUGGCCAUCCGAACGGUACCCAUGCCGUUCCAGCACCGUGUCUUCCACUAGACCAGUCACCAAACCGGGCCGCAUCGUUCCACGGCCUGCCAUCCUCGUCCCCCGAAACCCACAGACUGGAACAUUACAGGCUUUUUCCACAGGGCAGGAUGGGGGGAUCAGAGCACUGUUUUCCCUGUGAUCCUCUGACGGGAAAUUUCGACAUGACAGGAUUCUCCACUGCGGACUCUUCAGAGCACAAACUUCCCUAUUGUGAAACGGGGAACCAAGUGGUCGGGGGUCAUUUUUCCACUUGUAAUCGAAGUGGCUCCCGAGGGCCCAUGAUGGGCGGCUCUAAAGUUGACCAGCAGUUACCUCAGCAGAACGUGUUUUCGGACCGAUUCGGGAACCGUGGGAAAAUGGAUCCGGGGGUUAACGCUAGACACCACCUCAUGCCCCAGCAAAGACCGGGACCCGUCGCCAGGCAGAACCCCGGUUCCCCUGCGCUUCCACGGUUUUAUCACACUCCGGACUAUGUAGCGAACAAUACGGAUGUUCAAGGUGGUGGUCCGAUGGUCCACGUUCAGCACGGCCACCUGGACCGGCCCAUACAUAGACUGAACAACCAUAACAUGCAUCCCUUUGGGGAACCGGUGUUUGAUGUCCCCCAGCUAGCCCCUCAGCCCCCACAUCACCCUCACCUCAGCUCACUGCCUUAUUUGAAUAUGGCAAAAAGACCACGGUUUGAUCUCCCAAACGGCUCUGCUGGAGAGAGCUGCAGCCCCCUAAGCAACAGCUUACAUAAUCGGCCCAAUCUUGAGAACCACCUCUCCCCCUCAGCUUUCCCUUCUCCCAUGGGGGACUUUGCGUCUCAUGUGACGGAUGGGUUUCCAUCAGGCCCCCUACCCUUGAGCUCCGGCCCACAGCAACAGCAGCGGCAGCAGAACGCGGCGAUGAUGAUCAAACAAAUGGCAUCGAGGAGCCAGCAGCAGAGAAUGAGACAACCCGACCUGCAACAGUUAAGUCUCCACGGGGACGUCACAUCAAACGGCAUGGUCUGCCGAGGCCCUCUGGGUAGUGUGUCUCAGUCCAAUUUCGAGAAGAAGCAUAAUUUUCAUGGAAACUUUGACAGCCCCCACCUACCUCAAGAAAACUCAUGGUUUCCUGAGCCGCAGCAGCAUUGUAGAGAAACAAACACGCAUGCCUUGGAGCAGGCAGAGAAUGGACACAACAUUAUUUUUAGGCAAGGCGUCACAAGCAUGGACAUGCAGUCUUUGAAUUCUCCGGGAGCGCAUCAUCCAUUCGAAAAUAAUGUCAGUAAUCCUCUGCAUAUGCAGUCUCCCGAUGAGAGCAACAUGCAGUCAGGCGCACCCACAGACAGGAGGCCGGCUGAAUUCGGAGGAAUGGCGAUGAGGAGGCAGCACAGCUUCCCUCCUGGAGGGCCGACUCAACAGGGAGCCCCCCAGAGCAAUCCUCCAGGAUUUAGCUCCUCUCCAGGGAACUAUCCCGCCCAUCCCGAGUACCUCUCCAGCCAGCACCUGUCAGUCAAUAAGCUUGGGGCCCUCUCUUUGGGGAAUUUGAACAAAGCCAGUACAAAAGACAGUGUGUUUGGCCAAAGCUGUCUGGCAGCCCUCUCCACGGCCUGCCAGAAUAUGAUCGCCAGCCUUGGGGCCCCGAACCUCAAUGUGACUUUUAAUAAGAAAAGUCAAAAUGAGGCCAAACGCAAAGCAGGCCAGGUUGAGCAGGACAUAAAUAGCAGUGGCAGUAGCGGCCCAGGGGCAGAGUAUUUCCAGAGCAACGCUUCUCAGAAUAGUCAAACGCCUUGCUCUGGGAAUAACAACAAUACGACUGCAGGUCAAAGUGGUACGGGCCAGAUGGCGAAAAGGGAAGCGAGCACCCUUUCCCCGAAUGACAACAUGGAGUCUGGAUGUGAGGGAAAAAUGGCAACAGGCAACGGCAAGGGGAGGGGGAAGAAGAGACGCGACAGCGGGCACAUCAGUCCUGGAAACUUCUCCCCUCCAUGCGGCGGUAACCCUGUUGUCAGUCCGACUCAGCAGGGUUCUGCUUUGAACAUGGGCAUGGAGGGCCCGGAGAGGUCCCUGGUCUCACCUUCCUUUGGAAAGCCCGAUCUUGCAACCUCGAUGGACAGCGGCAUUCAAAGCGUGGGCAAGUCUGAUGGCGUUUCGCCGUGCAUGGAUUAUUUAGACGAAGCCAGCCCCAACUACAGCGCUGAGGACCCCAGGCCUUGCAGAGCUGGCAUGAAGUGUAAUUCUGAAAACAGGGCCGGCUACAAUGACAAUACGUGCAUGGAACAGGUCCGGACGCCGCUGAGCAACCCGGGCCAGGACGAGGUUCAUCCUCUGGAGAUCUUGCAGGCUCAGAUCCAGCUGCAAAGACAGCAGUUCAGCAUCUCUGAGGACCAGCCGAUGGGAGGGAAAACGAGCAAAAAGGCAGACUGCCAGGCCGGUCUGAACGGAGAGUGCACCUUGGCCAGUUCUAGCCCGGUCGCAGGCAAGGGCUCUGUGAAUACCAUUGACCUUGACUCUCUCAUGACAGAGCAGCAUGCCACCUGGUAUGUCCCUGGCAACAAGACUCUGAUAGAGGACCCCAGUAAUGACAAGUGCCUGGGAUACUGGGAUCGAGCACGGGGCCAGAGUGACAACAAAGAAGGACAUGGGUAGGAGCGCUCCUCUGCUGGCUCUCCUUAGCGUUUCACAAAAAAAAAAAAAAGGUGCUGCACGAUCUCGCUGUGAGGGUGGGGGUGGGACCUGGAGGAAGCCACCCGCGGUGUCCGGAAACCUCGGGACGCGGGGGUGGGGAGGGGGGACGGAGGGGCCCCUGCUGUUCCUCUCACUUCCAGAUGCGACUUAAACUCAUCCAGAACAACUCUAACCACUUUGGGACCUCGCUGGCUGCUUUCUGUAACUGUAAGGAUGAUGGCUGGCUUGGUGUUUUCCAGCAGUAAUUGGAUACAUUUUUUUUUUUACUAGCCCCAGAGAAACCGCAAACUCUCCGGGUGUCCGUAGAGUGAGUCUUCAGGCCAACAGAGUCUCUUUAGAUGGACUGGAGACGAGAGACAAUGGGAUACAGGAAAUACACAAGCACACCAGACUGGAAUCUUGGACAGCGAGGCUCAGUUGCUUUUAGUGUAUUUUUAUCUUCUAUAAAGAUCCACUUUUGCUGGGAUUACCUCAUUUUUUUAAGACUUGCAAGUGAGGGUUUAACUAGUUAGUCCGAGAGCGCGCCGCUCUCUAUAAAUAUUUAUUAUCCCUGUUUUUCGGCGAAGCUUCUUUAUUUGUGAACUUCAGCGUUGCGUUUAAUCUUUUUCGGUUACAUUAUGUUCUCUCUUUUUUUUGGGGGGGAAGGGUUUGUGUCCAACUCCCAGAAUUCUGACAGCGAGCCGCCAUCCAAUAGAGACUGAAUUCCUUCGCACGAGAGGGAAGCAGCGUGUUAUAAAGCUUCCCAUUCUCCGAGGUCUCCAGCAGCAGGCUCCUUGUCUGUGGUGGGUCAACCUUUUGACUUUGAAAGGCCAGUGGGGGUUCUGUCCUCUCCCUACUGUUUUUGGAAAUUUGAUAUUCACCCUGAGAACAUCCCUUUGUGACCUGCCUGGCCGGCAUCGGAAUGCCAUUGUUUCAAGUCGAAACUCUCCUUUGCUUGGGUUUUCCCUCUUUACCAAGCCUCCAUUGAGACCCUGAGCUUCCCUCUGCCUUUAAACCAACUGAUGGUGAAUAUGUUUAGUCGGAAUUGGCAGGCUAUUCAAGCGAGGACAAUAGUCGGAGACAAAAGACUUUCCUUUUAAGAAAAUAGGUUUUCUUCUGGAGAGAAAAAGGUCUUUAACCAAUUUUUUGGUCUUCGACACCUCUCUGUUUCCUUGUUCUACCUCUUUUCUCCGUUUUUCUCUCAUUAUUGUGAUAUACACGAAGCUUAAAGUGAAGUUAUUUGUGUCCGCAGAGUUUUUUGUAAAUAACCUGUAUAUUAUGAAUCACUUAUUAACAAUAAAUAUGUUGUAAA